AGUGAACGCUGGCGGCGUGCCUAAUACAUGCAAGUCGAACGGAGCUUCAGUAGCUUGCUAUUUAAUCUUAUUGGCGCACGGGUGAGUAAUAUAUAGCUAACUUGCCCCUUACUAAGGGACAACAGUUGGAAACGACUGCUAAUACCUUAUACUCCGUAUCUAUAUAAGUAGAUACGGGAAAGUUUUUCGGUAAUGGAUAGGGUUAUAUCGUAUCAGCUAGUUGGUAAGGUAAUGGCUUACCAAGGCUAUGACGCGUAACUGGUCUGGGAGGAUGAUCAGGCACACUUGAACUGAGGCACGGUCCAGGCUCCUUCGGGAGGGAGCAGUAGGGAAUAUUGCUCAAUGGGGGAAACCCUGAAGCAGCAACGCCGCGUGGAGGAUGACACGUUUCGGAGCGUAAACUCCUUUUCUUGUGAAAGAAUUAUGACGGUACCCAAGGAAUAAGCACCGGCUAACUCCGUG
rnacentral:rRNA from 1 species